UAUUCCAGCCGAGUGUGGCUGAUGUAUAUUUUGUAUGUAGUAAUGUUUCAUAUUGUCCGCCGUACAAGGGAGGUGUCGCCGAAAUUUCUUCGGACAGAGACUCCUCUGGGGCGUGACAGAAGCCCUCUUCUCCUCACCAACGUUGAGCCCUAGUUUUUCCUCUGCCCUAGCGCUGACCUAUUUCCGCGGCUAUCAACCGAUCGCUGGCGGGGGGUGGACAUUCAAGGCUCUAAGGGUAAGCUAGCUUCGACCGAACCUCCUUCUCUUGAUCUUCUUCGAUUUUGUGCCUAACCCUAGUCGCUGGUUCAUCUUUUCUCUCUUGGGUUGAGGAUGAUGGUAGUAAUCUUGGAGAGGAGCUGCUUGAUUUCAGCGACCACAACACUGUGGGCUGGACGCUUACAUCGCUAGAUUCGUGAUCAGCACCUGCAAUUCAAGAGGAAGAGUGUGAUGAUUCCGACAAGUGAGUUUUCUAACUGCAAGGUUUUCAGUUGUGUGUCAACAAGAAUUUCUUCGACCUUGGUUCAACAGUGAUACAUCAGGACUUUGAUACGAGACGAGCAUCUCGACGUUGGACUGCACUGGAUUGGACCUUCCU